UCGAGCGGAUGAAGGGAGCUUGCUCCUGGAUUCAGCGGCGGACGGGUGAGUAAUGCCUAGGAAUCUGCCUGGUAGUGGGGGAUAACGUCCGGAAACGGGCGCUAAUACCGCAUACGUCCUGAGGGAGAAAGUGGGGGAUCUUCGGACCUCACGCUAUCAGAUGAGCCUAGGUCGGAUUAGCUAGUUGGUGGGGUAAAGGCCUACCAAGGCGACGAUCCGUAACUGGUCUGAGAGGAUGAUCAGUCACACUGGAACUGAGACACGGUCCAGACUCCUACGGGAGGCAGCAGUGGGGAAUAUUGGACAAUGGGCGAAAGCCUGAUCCAGCCAUGCCGCGUGUGUGAAGAAGGUCUUCGGAUUGUAAAGCACUUUAAGUUGGGAGGAAGGGCAGUAAGUUAAUACCUUGCUGUUUUGACGUUACCAACAGAAUAAGCACCGGCUAACUUCGUGCCAGCAGCCGCGGUAAUACGAAGGGUGCAAGCGUUAAUCGGAAUUACUGGGCGUAAAGCGCGCGUAGGUGGUUCAGCAAGUUGGAUGUGAAAUCCCCGGGCUCAACCUGGGAACUGCAUCCAAAACUACUGAGCUAGAGUACGGUAGAGGGUGGUGGAAUUUCCUGUGUAGCGGUGAAAUGCGUAGAUAUAGGAAGGAACACCAGUGGCGAAGGCGACCACCUGGACUGAUACUGACACUGAGGUGCGAAAGCGUGGGGAG
rnacentral:rRNA from 1 species